UUUUUCAUAGACACUGACAGGCAGUUGCGCUCUGCAGCAACUCCAAUACCAAGUCCACAAAGCAGUGGAGACUUUUCAGGGUUGGGUUCAACCGGUGGUUUUGUAAUGAGCUGUAGAGUGCAAGGAGAAGGGAAGCAUAGCAAACCAUUGGUUCAAUUAGCAAUGCGACAUGUGACAUGCGUGGAGGAUGCUGCAAUCUUUAUGGCACUUGCAGCAGCAGUUGAUCUUAGUAUUGUGGCAUGCAGGCCUUUCCGGAGGAGGCUUAGGAGAGGGUCUCGCCAUUCUAUAUGAAAGAGGAAGUUAAUUGAGUUAUUAAUUUUCCUGAUCUGAGAAUGGCUUCAUUUUACUUUGUUACUACUGUAACUUUAGGCAUUGUGUACAUGAUCUCCGGUAAUUGUUAAGUGGGUCAUAAGCUAUCAAUACACAGCCCACAUGACUACCAACUUACCAAGGCUUGAUUUUAUAUAGUUUUCAUACUUCUGAUUAUGGUAGAUUUUUCCAUUAAAAAAAAA
rnacentral:misc_RNA from 1 species